rnacentral:rRNA from 1 species
UACGUAGGGGGCAAGCGUUGUCCGGAAUCAUUGGGCGUAAAGCGCGUGUAGGCGGUUCGGUAAGUCUGCUGUGAAAGUCCAGGGCUCAACCCUGGGAUGCCGGUGGAUACUGUCGGGCUAGAGUACGGAAGAGGCGAGUGGAAUUCCCGGUGUAGCGGUGAAAUGCGCAGAUAUCGGGAGGAACACCAAUUGCGAAGGCAGCUCGCUGGGACGUUACUGACGCUGAGACGCGAAAGCGUCGGGGAGCAAACAGG